rnacentral:rRNA from 1 species
GAUGAACGCUGGCGGCGUGCCUAAUACAUGCAAGUCGAGCGAACAGACGAGGAGCUUGCUCCUCUGACGUUAGCGGCGGACGGGUGAGUAACACGUGGAUAACCUACCUAUAAGACUGGGAUAACUUCGGGAAACCGGAGCUAAUACCGGAUAAUAUAUUGAACCGCAUGGUUCAAUAGUGAAAGACGGUUUUGCUGUCACUUAUAGAUGGAUCCGCGCCGCAUUAGCUAGUUGGUAAGGUAACGGCUUACCAAGGCAACGAUGCGUAGCCGACCUGAGAGAGUGAUCGCCCACACUGGAACUGAGACACGGUCCAGACUCCUACGGGAGGCAGCAGUAGGGAAUCUUCCGCAAUGGGCGAAAGCCUGACGGAGCAACGCCGCGUGAGUGAUGAAGGUCUUCGGAUCGUAAAACUCUGUUAUUAGGGAAGAACAAAUGUGUAAGUAACUAUGCACGUCUUGACGGUACCUAAUCAGAAAGCCACGGCUAACUACGUG